AUGAUACUUCAUUCAGUCAUUCUGCUCUCUGCCUUGGCAUGGGUGAGUUUUGGAGAUGAAAUCACAGCAGACAGCACUGAGGAAUCUGCUGCUGUGGGUUUAAAUGUUACUUUAUCCUGCAGUUAUUCAUCUGCAGACUCACUUCAGUGGUACCGUCAGUAUCCCGGAUCAGCUCCUCAAUUACUUGUGCUUAUAAUAGAGAGUGUGAAAGAGACUAAGACAUCUGAUGUAGAUCCCAGGUUCUCUACUAAACUCAGAAAAGAAAACCAAGCAACAAAAGAGAUCAAACGUGUGGAUCUGAUGAUCUCCUCUGCUGCUGUAUCAGACUCUGCUCUGUAUUACUGUGCUCUGAGGACCACAGUGACAGGAAACACAUCAACACUGUACAAAAACCUGACAUAA